AACGAACGCUGGCGGCAGGCUUAACACAUGCAAGUCGAGCGCCCCGCAAGGGGAGCGGCAGACGGGUGAGUAACGCGUGGGAAUCUACCCAUCUCUACGGAAUAACGCAUGGAAACGUGUGCUAAUACCGUAUACGUCCUUCGGGGGAAAGAUUUAUCGGAGAUGGAUGAGCACGCGUUGGAUUAGCUCGUUGGUGGGGUAAAGGCCUACCAAGGCGACGAUCCAUAGCUGGUCUGAGAGGCUGAUCCGCCACACUGGGACUGAGACACGGCCCAGACUCCUACGGGAGGCAGCAGUGGGGAAUAUUGGACAAUGGGCGCAAGCCUGAUCCAGCCAUGCCGCGUGAGUGAUGAAGGCCCUAGGGUUGUAAAGCUCUUUCACCGGUGAAGAUAAUGACGGUAACCGGAGAAGAAGCCCCGGCUAACUUCGUGCCAGCCGCCGCUGUAAGAC
rnacentral:rRNA from 1 species